rnacentral:lncRNA from 1 species
ACCACGCUUGAGGAUGUUACUCUCCUCUCACAGAGUUCGCCUAAUGAGUUCACUCCCCAAAUUGACCCUUCUACACCGCCAUCUCUCUGUAUUAGACCAAGGUGACCUCUCACUUCUUCUAGCGGGUCAUUAUGUUUCCUCUCAUGGAAGGACCAAUUUGUUGUGGGGGCACCCUCCCUUCUCCCCAACAAAUAUUUGCAGACAAUAAGAGAGGGACUUGCCCUAAUAACUAAAGAAUAUACUUUCCCC